UUUUACUUUCACACAACGCGUUGCCUUCCUCUUUCACCUGCGAGCUUCCCCAAACCCUCUCCAUCCUUUGUUUCUCUUCACUUUCUCACUCUCUCUUUUCUUCAUCAAUGAAAGAUUGAUUUCGCUACUUGCCUGGGCUAACUCCCGCAACCAUUGCCAUCGCCGACCACCUUCACCACCAUGGUAACCAUUGCCGAUAGCCGCCGUCCAUCAUCCUACUCCUUGGACUUCGUUUCCAUCCAAUCCGCCUCAGAUCCGCAUCUAUGUCAUUGUUUGUUCAUCUCAGAUCUAUGUCGCCAAGGUCUUCCAGCCACCGUUGCUGCUUUUGUCGCAACACCACAUCUCCGCCGCUUGCACCACCGCCGUUCUUGCACGUAGACGCACAAGGUUUUGAAAGAUAGGAAGCUCAAGCAUCAGCUAUCUAUCAGAAAAUAGUUAUAUGGCAAUGCUACGAAAGCUGCUGCCAAGGCGGAAAAGUGAACUGUUUUCCAUGUAUCUUUUAUGUUCAACAAUUGAACUAAAUUUAUCCUUUUGUUUAAUGAUCUCUAUGUGACAUGCUAUAGAAAGAAUUCAAUUUUAGUUGUGCAUUAUAUUCUUAUUCGAAAUUGACUAAAUUCAAGAUUAAGUAUCAAACUUAACUAAAUCUAAAUUUGAUGUGUGAAGAACUUUGAGAAUUAAAAGAAAUCUUGUGCUCUGGUCUCUUUCUAAUUUUUCCAACAUUAAGAACCCUAAUCUGAUGAUGGACGACAACAUUCACUUCUCUGCUUUCUUCAAUUAUGACAAUCCACUGCAUAAGGUCCUUCCCGCCAUAGCAGAGCAACCAAUAAAUUUGCAGCAUCCCUUGUCUUAAAUUGCAUCUAUGAGCCUAUGGCGAUUUCAUUUGAUGGCCAAAAUCUUUGCAGCCUAGAGUCAAUUGCAAGACAAAAUUUUCAUCAUUCUAUUGUAUUAUGGUGUACAUAGGGAGGUAUGGGAGUGUUCAUUACUUUAUUUGAUAAUAGUCACAAAAGUGUGAAGUUGUAGGUUUCUAUUUCCUGUGAAUGCUAAGUAAUGUAAAUAGGUUUCAUGGUUUGGAUUAUAGGAAUUAUCAAAGUAAAAUGUUGUUGUUUUGGGCAUAAAAAAUACCCUUAUUCAAGAAGUGAGACUCAAAGAAGAAGAACCCUUAUAAAAUGCAAUGCAAUUUCAUCUUCCUGUUUCAUAAAAUAUUUAGAAAGUAUUAGCUUUGUAUUAGAAGAAACUUCCAUUUUGUUGCAAUUGAUAGCUCUGAAAUAUAUUUCAGGUAUUCUCACUGAUAUUGCUGAAGCAAAAUACAACUACUGGUCUACCUUUGCGGCUAAUCCUUUUGAAGUUGUAUUAGUUGCAGGAAAGAAAGCAAAACUACCAGGAGGAGUGUAGAUGAGGAAGAAAAUAAAUGUGACUUGAAGGACCUUACCGGGGAGGGAAAUAUUGAGAGCAUGCUUUUUUUCAAGCAAGGGUUACGGGAAUUAGCUUCACUAAAGGCAUCCCCAGUAUUCAUCUUUGCAAACCAAGCCGAACUUGACAUGCUCGAAACUACUCUUGUCGCCCUUCAAGACAUUAUGCUCAACAAAGUUCUUGAUGAAUCUGGCAAGAAGAUUCUUUGCUCUGAGUUCUCCAAGAUUAUGCAACAGCUAUGUUCAUCGAGUGGGUCAUAUAGCAAGAGCUGGCCGAGAAGGAUGUGCCAUCACAUUUGUGACUGAUAAUGACUGGUCACUUCUAAAAGCAAUUGAAGAGAGCUGGUUCAAAGCUGAAGAGCCGAAUUAUAGCAGAGCAAUUCAUACAUAAAUGGUCUCAUGUAAUUGAGUAAUUGGAGCAUCAAAUUGCAGAAGUACAUGAAGAAGAGAGGUUUUUGAUUGUUAAUGGUUCUCUUAUUUUAACUACUAUACUGUAUUUUUACAUCUCAAAUUCUCAAUUUUUCUUUUUUUGGGGUUCAGGGAAGAAAGAGCCCUAAGAAAAUCUGAAAUAGGGGCCACAAAGGUAUAGAUCAGCGAUUCAUUGUUUUAUUUGCUUGGAGUUCUGGGAUGCCUUGGAUUACAAUUUUGUGUGUUCACUUCACAUUAUUGUUUAAGAAAUAGUACUUCCUAGUAGUAGUAUUAUAUUAUGUGGCUUUGAACCUUCCAUUCACUCUCUGCAUUUUCUCAUUCAUAAGAUUUUCCAUUUAAAUAUAAUCAUGCUCUUAUGAAAUGGAUAGGAUGAAAACAUGAUUACUCAUAAGGAAGAGAUCUUUUCCCGCUCCAAAAGAACCUGGUUUGUAACAGAGACAGAAAAAAAGGUUGCUACAAAAGCAGCAAAGAAAAAUUUUCCGAGAAAACGUAGAAAAUUGGAAGCGGCUAGAGAGAUGUUAGAAGAUGAAGGAGAUGAUGACAGACCUGAAGUAUGCACUUCCUGUUUGCAUUUAAGGUUGUAGUUUUUGUCAUGCACCAGGAGAGAUGUCAUAUCACGAGCCUUGGCUAAAUUUGUAUCAAUAAACAGGUUUUAUGGGGCAGGAAUGACUUAGAGGAUGGAAAGGAAGCAUGCCAAAGUGGAAGGAACACAAGAAAUUGAAGAUUUAAGAAGCUGGAGGUGACGCGCGCACAUGGCUGACGCGUACGUGUGAUCAAGCCAUUUUCCAAGCGACGCAUACGCAUGACUAACGCGUACGUGUGACCUUAUGCAUAGUUCAACGACGCAUACACGUGGCUGACACGUACGCGUGACAAGCGUCACGUGCCUUAGUUACGAGAAAACGCUAGGGGCGAUUUUUGGGCUGCUUUUGACCUAGUUUCAGACCCGAAAACUUAGACAAGAGGCUGCAGAAUGGAGUUGGAAGGGGGAGACCACCAAUCAUCACUAUUCAUUCAUACACACUUGAGGUUUUAGAUGUAGAAUUCUAGAGAGAGGCUCUCUCCUCUCUCUAGGUUUAGGAUUUCUUCUUUCAAUUAAUUCUUAGAUUUAAGUUUCGGUCUUAUUUUAAUUUAGCUUUCUCUUACUUUUAUUUGCUCUAACACUUUAGUUAUCUACUUCUCUUAUUGAU